GAUGAAGAACGCAGCGAAAUGCGAUAAGUAAUGUGAAUUGCAGAAUUCAGUGAAUCAUCGAAUCUUUGAACGCACAUUGCGCCCCUUGGUAUUCCGAGGGGCAUGCCUGUUCGAGCGUCAUUAUAACCCCUCAAGCUUAGCUUGGUGUUGGGGCCUGCUGUAAUAGAGCAGCCCUUAAAAUCAGUGGCGGUGCCAUUAGGCUCUAAGCGUAGUAAUUCUUCUCGCUAUAGGGUUCUGGUGGAUGCUUGCCAUUAACCUCUAAUUUUCUAUGGUUGACCUCGGAUCAGGUAGGGAUACCCGCUGAACUUAAGCAUAUCAAUAAGCGGAGGA
rnacentral:misc_RNA from 1 species